rnacentral:rRNA from 1 species
CAGCGCCACGAGUGGGGGUCACGAUUAUUGGGCCUAAAGCGUCCGUAGCCGGUUCAGCAAAUCCUUUGUGAAAUCGUUGGGCUCAACCCAACGGCGUGCAGGGGACACUACUGAACUAGGGACCGGGAGGGGUUGGAGGUAUUUCUGAGGGAGCGGUAAAAUGCUAUAAUCUCAGGAGGACCACCUGUGGCGAAGGCGUCCAACCAGAACGGAUCCGACGGUGAGGGACGAAAGCUGGGGGAGCGAUCCGGAUUAGAUACCCGAGUAGUCC